AGGCCUCAUCUUCUCCACCUUCUUGUCCACCUUCUGCUUCCCGUUCUGGGGGUGCUGUCGCAACCCCAUCUUUAAACAAUGAGCGUUUCAAACGGUCCAGAAGUCGGGAAGCCAUGAUGCCACCUGUGGCAAAUAACAUAAGGUAAAUAUAGCUUUAAAAAAGUACUUUUAAAAAUGCUCUCAUACACUGUCUUCAGAGAAAACAGUGUAAAUAUACCAAUAUAUUGUAUCUGUAAAAUGGACAUCCACAGAGAAUAUCCAGGUCAGUGGAAAAUUGCAUUGUGUUCCGUUACGACUCAACAGAUAUGCAGAAGUAUAUGUGGACCAGGUCAGUGUCAGAAAGGGAUGCCAGCAGGUUGACUUGGCUCCAAUUACGGAGCCUCCAGCUACUCUGCAUGGAAAUCCUGUCACACGUUAAUAAUGCAGUGGCCUGCUCAGGACAGCCUGAAGCUUGGAAGAGAGGAUUCAAGCUGAGACUGAGCACACAAUUGGUAUAGACAAUUAUUUCUUUUUAGAAAUUGCUUCAAACAUAGAUGUGAUUCUGAGGAUUCUAAAUCAUCAUGAAGGAAAAUGCACACAGUACUGACCUUUCUUACACGCAUCCUAUUUGUUAUGCUUCAUGAUCAUUUAUAGGGAGGCUUUUACAGUGUAGGUUGAACAAGAAACUAAACAAACUAAUACUACAAUAAUAAUAACAAUAUUAUAAUAAUAAUUAUACUGUUUUCUGAAGAAUCUUUUCAGCAAUUUAUUUACUUUCAUGACUUCUGGUUUUAUUUUAGUUUUUGCUGUUAAUCCUGACCUGCACUUUGUCCUUUUGCGCCGCCGUUACAUGUAUAUUGGCUCAAUGACAUUAACAAAUAGUAUAUACACUUAAGCCCAAAAUUAUUCAUACACCUGUCAAAAACUGAAGAAAAGGGCACAAAAAAUUCCCAAACUAUUUCAGGUGCCAGUAGCAACAGUGCAAAGUAUCAUCCAGAAUACUAAAAUUUUCACACCGUCAAAAAACUCAACGGAAGUCAAUAGUCUCACCUCAGCUUGGGAGAAGGAUCAAGCUACUACUAGUAAGGCUGUUCUGAAGGAACUGCGUUCUGGUGCUGUGACUCUAUCAAGGCAGACACUCCAGUGAAUACUGCACCAAAGUGGCCUCUAUGGACGUCGACCAAGGAAGACCCCCCUGCUUCAACCAAAAUGAAACAAAGAUGGAGCUUUUUGGGCUUUCAUCUGGAGAAAGGGUGAAGCCAUUAAACCAAAGAACACACUCCCAACUGUUAAACAUGGAGGUGGAAGCAUCAUGCUGUGGGGCUGCCUUUCUGCCAAUGGACCUGGCAGCUUGGUUAAAGUGGAAGGAAUCAUGAGGAAAGAGCAGCACAUCAAGAUCCUUCAAGAAAAACCUCACGCAGGCAGCAGAGAACCUGAACCUGGGGGAGCAUUGGACCUCUCAGCAGGACAAUGAUCCAAAGCAUACGGCGAAGAAAUGGUUCCAGGACAAUGUUAUGAAGUGGCCAAGUCAAAGUCCUGAUUUAAAUAAACCCCAGCGAGGACCUUUGGAUGGAGCUCAUGAAACGGGUGACAGCACGGAAACCCUCCAAGAUCUGGGAACAUUUGCAAAGGAGGAAUGGUCCACCAUUCCUGCCAAUACAUGCAAGACUUUUGUGAGCAAAAAUUGUUUGGAGGCUGUGAUAAAAAAAUAAGGGGUUUGCAACUUAGGGCAUGAAUAAUUUGGUACAGUAUGAUUUUUUUUUGUUUUCACCCUGUUAAAGAUGUUUAUUUACACUUUCUAUCUUAAAUAAAUUGGUUAUGGCUUCAGUA